rnacentral:rRNA from 1 species
CCGGCCUGAGAGGGCGACCGGCCACAUUGGGACUGAGAUACGGCCCAGACUCCUACGGGAGGCAGCAGUGGGGAAUAUUGCACAAUGGGCGCAAGCCUGAUGCAGCGACGCCGCGUGCGGGAUGACGGCCUUCGGGUUGUAAACCGCUUUUGACUGGGAGCAAGCCCUUCGGGGUGAGUGUACCUUUCGAAUAAGCACCGGCUAACUACGUGCCAGCAGCCGCGGUAAUACGUAGGGUGCAAGCGUUAUCCGGAAUUAUUGGGCGUAAAGGGCUCGUAGGCGGUUCGUCGCGUCCGGUGUGAAAGUCCAUCGCUUAACGGUGGAUCCGCGCCGGGUACGGGCGGGCUUGAGUGCGGUAGGGGAGACUGGAAUUCCCGGUGUAACGGUGGAAUGUGUAGAUAACGGGAAGAACACCAAUGGCGAAGGCAGGUCUCUGGGCCGUCACUGACGCUGAGGAGCGAAAGCGUGGGGAGCGAACAGGAUUAGAUACCCUGGUAGUCCACGCCGUAAACGGUGGAUGCUGGAUGUGGGGACCAUUCCACGGUCUCCGUGUCGGAGCCAACGCGUUAAGCAUCCCGCCUGGGGAGUACGGCCGCAAGGCUAAAACUCAAAGAAAUUGACGGGGGCCCGCACAAGCGGCGGAGCAUGCGGAUUAAUUCGAUGCAACGCGAAGAACCUUACCUGGGCUUGACAUGUUCCCGACAGCCGUAGAGAUACGGUCUCCCUUCGGGGCGGGUUCACAGGUGGUGCAUGGUCGUCGUCAGCUCGUGUCGUGAGAUGCUGGGUUAAGUCCCGCAACGAGCGCAACCCUCGCCCUGUGUUGCCAGCACGUCGUGGUGGGAACUCACGGGGGACCGCCGGGGUCAACUCGGAGGAAGGUGGGGAUGACGUCAGAUCAUCAUGCCCCUUACGUCCAGGGCUUCACGCAUGCUACAAUGGCCGGUACAACGGGAUGCGACACCGCGAGGUGGAGCGGAUCCCUUAAAACCGGUCUCAGUUCGGAUUGGAGUCUGCAACCCGACUCCAUGAAGGCGGAGUCGCUAGUAAUCGCGGAUCAGCAACGCCGCGGUGAAUGCGUUCCCGGGCCUUGUACACACCGCCCGUCAAGUCAUGAAAGUGGGUAGCACCCGAAGCCGGUGGCCCAACCUUUUUGGGGGGGAGCCGUCUAAGGUGAGACUCGUGAUUGGGACUAAGUCGUAACAAGGUAGCCGUACCGGAAGGUGCGGCUG